rnacentral:lncRNA from 1 species
GGAUUAUAGAUUUUUUAUUCUAUUAAUAUAUUUAGAUGUUCUUCAAAUAUUUUCCAACAUAUGUGCUCACUUUCGGUUUGGGUGUCACAUUUUUAUAAUCCUUGCAAAAUUUCAAAGUUUUUAUUAUUAUUAUAUUUGUUAUGGUGAUCUGUGAUCAGUGACCCUCGAUGUUGUCAUCAAACCCAGGUUCAGCUGCUCACCUGUCAAAAGCCAAACACAGGAGAGGAGCGAUGGCGGGAAGAAAGCAGGUUUAUCUGGAGAGCCAGUAAUCUGAGAAGAUGGUGGACUAGUAUCCUAAGGAUUCAUGUGCCUCAGUCUUGGAUUCACCUAUUCCUUCAAGAAGCCUUGGGUCCCUUGACCCAAAUAAUUUGGACCCAAGGAAUUUGGAAUUUGGAGAGCAAGCUAUGGACCCUCUGUUGCACCUAUUGCUUAAAGGCGUCAAUCUGCCUGGCUUUCCCUGUGGACAGACCUAGGGGUAUGGAGGCAAACCUCGGAGAUAUUGCAGGUUUAGUCCAGACUACCACAACAAAGCAAAUACUGAAAUAAAGCCAGUCACACAACUUUUAUUUCUCCAUUCAUAUGAAAGAUCCAUCAGAAGAAUCACUAUAUAUGGCACCUAUAGCCUUACAAAAUGUGUAUCUUAAAUAAUGAGACUUGAAAGUUGAAAUGACACCUUGACCCAUGGGCUGCGGAAUGGAUGUUGUGUUAACAGACAUGAAAACACAUUAUUCUCUUCGUAAAUCUCCAUCAGAGCUCUUGGAUGACCAGUUGCAUUUUCAAUGAGAAGUAAUAUAGUGAAGAAAUCUUUUUUUCUCUGAACAGUAGGUCUCAACACGGUUUAAAAUAUUCAGUAAGCAUUGCUGUACAGAUGUCCUCUCAUUCAGACUUUGUUGUUCCAUUUAUAAAUCACAGGCAGAUAACUAGCAUACUUGUUAAGGGUCCUAGAAUUUUCAGAACGAUAAAUGAGAUUUGACUUCAACUUAAAGUCACCAGCUGCAUUAGCCCCUAACAAGAGAAUUAGCCUGUCCUUUGAAGCCAGGCAUUCAUUUCUUCUCUCAAGCUAUGAAAUUUCUAGAUGGUAUCUUCUCCCAAUAGAAGGCUGUUGUGUCUACAUUGAAAAUCUGCUUUUUAGUGUAGCUACCUUCACAGGCUGUUGAAAAAAAAAUGGCACUGAUAGACUUGCUUGAUGCAGGAUUGCCACAAACUUUGAAUUUGUAAAAAAUGUAAUAUCUGUGAAGCAUAGUAAAGUGAAACACAAUAAAAUGUGGUAUGUUUUU